GGAGAAGUGGCCGAGUGGCCGAAGGCGCUCCCCUGCUAAGGGAGUACAUGGUUUAUCCCGUGUCGAGGGUUCGAAUCCCUCCUUCUCCGCCA
rnacentral:tRNA from 1 species